rnacentral:rRNA from 1 species
GAUGAACGCUGGCGGCGUGCCUAAUACAUGCAAGUCGAGCGAACAGACGAGGAGCUUGCUCCUCUGACGUUAGCGGCGGACGGGUGAGUAACACGUGGAUAACCUACCUAUAAGACUGGGAUAACUUCGGGAAACCGGAGCUAAUACCGGAUAAUAUAUUGAACCGCAUGGUUCAAUAGUGAAGAACGGUUUUGCUGUCACUUAUAGAUGGAUCCGCGCCGCAUUAGCUAGUUGGUAAGGUAACGGCUUACCAAGGCGACGAUGCGUAGCCGACCUGAGAGGGUGAUCGGCCACACUGGAACUGAGACACGGUCCAGACUCCUACGGGAGGCAGCAGUAGGGAAUCUUCCGCAAUGGGCGAAAGCCUGACGGAGCAACGCCGCGUGAGUGAUGAAGGUCUUCGGAUCGUAAAACUCUGUUAUUAGGGAAGAACAAAUGUGUAAGUAACUAUGCACGUCUUGACGGUACCUAAUCAGAAAGCCACGGCUAACUACGUG